rnacentral:lncRNA from 1 species
GCUAUGAGCUUCAGCUUUUUAUGAAGACGUCAUGGUGUGCUAUCUGUACUGAGAACCUUUCCCCAGCAUCAGCCAGCUCCUGAAGAUAACAUUGUCUGCUAGAGAUUGUCAUACUUCCCAUGGGAGGCACAGAGCUUGGAGAAAGAAGUGGUUUUCUGGUUGCUCUUCAGAGGAUGGAGAGGAGACCUGCCUGCAGUGAAGGUCGAUGCUGGUGGCAUUGAAGUUCUGGAGGUCAUAAGUCUGAGGUCAGUUUCCCUGGGCCAAGAUCAAGGUGUCGGCAGGGCUGCACUGGCUCCGGAGGCUAAGGGGAAGCAUCCAUUUCUUGCCUUUUCCGGCUUCUAGACCCACAUUCCUUGCAUUCCCUGGCGCUGUCCCCGUUCUCCAUCUUCAAAGCCAGCAGCGUGGCACCCAUUCUCUCUGACUGCACUUCCGCUGGCUGGCAUCUCACAGCUUUCUUCUCUUCUGUGUCAAAUCUCCUGCCACCUCUCUUAUAAGGACACUUGGAUUGCAAUUAGGUCCCAGCGAGAUUAUCCUGGAUCAUCUUCCCACUUCAAGAUCCCUAAUCACAUCUGCUAACUGUAUUCCACGAUGAAUGGUAACAUUCACACGUUCCGGGGAUCGGGAUGGGAUGCUUUUGCAGGCCAUUACUCAGCCUGCUGCAAGGUCUGAAGGCAGUGCUGUCAGAUUCCAUUGGCUAGUUUAUGACUCUGUGCACUGAGGCAGACUCGACAACUAGAUGCCUUUUUAUAAAAAUGUGGUAACAUGCACACAAAAUUUCCUAUUUUUAUUGUUUUUAGGUGUAAAUUCAGUGGCAUUAAGUGCUUUCACAUUGUCGUGUAACCAUCACCACCAUCCACCUCCACAACUUUCUCACCAUCUCAGACUGACACUCUGUACCGAUUAAACAACCAUUCUCCGUUCUCCCCUCCCCCAGCCGCUGGCAACCACCAUUCUACUUUCUGUUUCCAUGAAUUUGCCUAUUCUAGGUACCACAUAUAAGAGGAAUCAUAAUAUUUAGCCUCUUGUAGACACAUUUUUAAAAGAUUUUUUUGAACUUUGUUCCCUAGUCUUAGAAGUGUUCUUACCUGAGUGUAGGUGUUAAACCUAAAAUCUAUACGUAGAUCUAUACUACAAAUAUUCUCAAAUCAUUUCAUUUGUGACAUGCCUGUGGUUCAGGGCAACAUCUAAUGUAAAAGUUAGAUGCAACUGAAAAGAGCCACCAACAUUCCUGCCUAUUGGAAUUUCCAAGGAUAGGCAGGGUGU